rnacentral:rRNA from 1 species
CCUACGGGAGGCAGCAGUGAGGAAUAUUGGUCAAUGGACGCAAGUCUGAACCAGCCAUGCCGCGUGCAGGAAGACGGCUCUAUGGGUUGUAAACUGCUUUUGUACGAGGGUAAACGCAGAUACGUGUAUCUGUCUGAAAGUAUCGUACGCAUAAGGAUCGGCUAAUUCCGUGCCAGCAGCCGCGGUAAUACGGAGGAUACAAGCGUUAGCCGGAUUUAUUGGGUUUAAAGGGUGCGUAGGUGGGCGGAUAAGUUAGAGGUGAAAUCCCGAGGCUCAACCUGGGAAUUGCAUCUGAUACUGUUCGGCUAGAGAGUAGUUGCGGGAGGCGGAAUGUAUGGUGUAGCAGUGAAAUGCUUAGAGAUCAUACAGAACACCGAUUGCGAAGGCAGCUUACCAAGCUACUUCUGACGUUGAGGCACGAAAGCGUGGGGAGCAAACAGGAUUAGAUACCCCGGUAGUC